CAGGGUAAGGUGCGAUGGAACACGUGACCGCAAGUGGCCUAGGCCGCGAGCAACACAACCGUGAGAGGGCCACGUGAACCAGGCUGUACCAAUACAAGGAACAAGCACCUAGGCUAGCCUAACACCCUAAAUAUAAUAAAAAUAUACAUCGAAAAGAUGGAAAAGACACUUUUAGUAAAAGAGAAAGAAGCCCAGGAGGAGGCAGACUGUUCCAAGAAACAGAGGCCUACUCGGAGCCAGCGAUAGCCGAUGAAGAGCAAGAGCCGGGAUGCUGGGCCGGAAUAAUAAUAAUAGCCCUAAAUACCAAACUAAGAGAUAUGGUAGGAGGGCUAAACUAGCUAAAACUCGAUGUAAAAACAAUGAACGUAAAAUAGUAAGCCCAUAAGUAUAAGAAGUCCCAGUAUGGAGGACCGGGAAUUCUUAACGAGGCAGCAUGGCGCCGCCACGAGACAACCGGGGAACCGUAUAUGACCUAUUUAAGAGGAAAAUACUGGUACCCGGAAGAUAAAAAUGCGGUAAAACAUUACUUAUGAGUUACUUAACUUAGCCGUGGCAAUAGCUGAGCGUUCCAUGGUAGAUUAAUGAGAUAAAUCCCGUAAUAACACAGCACAAGGAAAAAUGCGUCUUGACGCUAGCGCUAAAAAUUAAGGAUGUCCGCUAGGGGCGCUGCUGUCCGUGGCGUCCUCUAGUAGUAGUAGUAGCGGCUGCAUCGCCCGUUGGUAUCAGCUCUCUCUUGGGGGGAUUCUGAUUGGAAGUUCUAAUUGGUGAUUGUCUCGUGGUAGUGUUCCCCACUCGCCCCUAUUAUCAUACCGACACUUCUUUUUAAGAGUGAGCGAGUCAGUUUUACUGACAUUUUCUUAAUUUUGUUUUUCUCUGGUAAUUUUAGAUUAAUUUUACCUAGAAAGAAUGAUAUUAAGGAUCCUUUCAUAGGCCGACACGAGCUGAGCCCAGAAAUGAUAUUGUUAGUAUACAAUAAAGUUUUGUACAUACUUACCUGGCAGAUAUAUACGAUUGAUGGCCCUCCCAGCCUCCCCUCAGGAGACAGGUGGAAGAGAAAAUCUGACAAGAAAGUGGGUUUGGUUCUUACACCCGCGAGUUUUGAAUUCUGUCGUGACGUCAGAGACGUAAGCUAAGUAUAUAUCUUCCAGGUAAGUAUGUACAAAACUUUAUUGUAUACUAACAAUAUCAUUUUUUAUGUUUACCUACAAUGUAUGUUGUUUUCCUGUCUAUUUCAGUAAAUAGCUGUCUCUUACCCACCACCAAGGGUGCCAAUCAGUUAAGUAUAUAGCUGACAGGGAAGUUGAAUUUACAAAAAUGAUAUUGUUAUGAUACAAUAAAGUUUUGUACAUACUUACCUGGCAGAUAUAUACAAUUAAAUGGCCCACCCAGCCUCCCCUCAGGAGACAGGUGGAAGAGAAAAUCUGAUUAGAAAACGGGAAUGGUUCCUAUUCCUGCCACCCAGCGGCAGGGCGGUAGAUCACCUGACCUACCUGUAGCGUGUGCCACGAAAUUUGAAUUUCUGUCGGGAACGACUGAGUCUAAAGCUAAGUAUAUAUCUGCCAGGUAAGUAUCUACAAAACUUUAUUGUAUCAUAACAAUAUCAUUUUCUAGAGGAUGCUUAUUUUAGAGUUGUUAUGAAUGGGACUAUUCAGAACAUGUUUUUCUUAGAUUGCUUAUUUUAUUUCAGAUUAUUCCAAACAGGAAAAUUACUUCAGUUCCUAGCUAGGAUUGAGUAUUGCACAGAGAACAUCCUGUGAAAAUGGAAGCUGAAAAAUCGUCCUCAUUGUUGUUGCUCAAAGAAGAGAAGGAGAAUUUGGAGGAGGGUCGAACUGAAAUCACAGGGGAAGGCUCUUCGUUUGCAGACCCCUUCUUAGAAGUCAAGGCAGAACCAGAAUUUUUUGACGUUCAUUACCAUCAUCAUUGCCAUUAAUCAAAGAAGAGAAGUAGAAUUAGGAGGAGGGUCUCACUGAAAAUGCAGGCGAAUGUUCCUCAUUUGCAGAUUCUUACUUAGAAGUGAAGGCAGAGCCAAAGUAUUUUGGCCAGAGUGAAUUUGAUGCGAAAUGGUUUUAUAACCUUUAGGUAUUCAAAGGUAAAAUAAAUUACUUUUAGUUUUUUCUUACAAUUGUUCUCUUGUUCUCAUUGAUCAAUGUACAGUAUACUUGGUUAAGAAGUUUUCCUGUGAUGUCUCCACUUUUCUGGUUCCUGUGUACUUUUUGUAUGGUUUCCAAAUAAAGAAUUAGUAUUGUU